rnacentral:tRNA from 1 species
GCGGGAGUGGCGAAAUUGGUAGACGCACCAGAUUUAGGUUCUGGCACCUCGAGGUAUGCGAGUUCAAGUCUCGCCUCCCGCAC